rnacentral:rRNA from 1 species
GAUGAACGCUGGCGGCGUGCCUAAUACAUGCGAGUCGAGCGAACGGACGAGAAGCUUGCUUCUCUGAUGUUAGCGGCGGACGGGUGAGUAACACGUGGAUAACCUACCUAUAAGACUGGGAUAACUUCGGGAAACCGGAGCUAAUACCGGAUAAUAUUUUGAACCGCAUGGUUCAAAAGUGAAAGACGGUCUUGCUGCCACUUAUAGAUGGAUCCGCGCUGCAUUAGCUAGUUGGUAAGGUAACGGCUUACCAAGGCAACGAUGCAUAGCCGACCUGAGAGGGUGAUCGGCCACACUGGAACUGAGACACGGUCCAGACUCCUACGGGAGGCAGCAGUAGGGAAUCUUCCGCAAUGGGCGAAAGCCUGACGGAGCAACGCCGCGUGAGUGAUGAAGGUCUUCGGAUCGUAAAACUCUGUUAUUAGGGAAGAACAUAUGUGUAAGUAACUGUGCACAUCUUGACGGUACCUAAUCAGAAAGCCACGGCUAACUACGUG